AGAGCGCAAGGGGAAUGCCUUGGCAUCAGGAGCCGAUGAAGGACGUGAUAAGCUGCGAAAAGCUUCGGGGAGCUGCAAAUAAGCUUUGAUCCGGAGAUGUCCGAAUGGGGAAACCCACCUGAGCAAACCUCAGGUAACGCAUGGUGAAUCAAAUAGCCAUGCGUGGGGAACCGCCUGAACUGAAACAUCUAAGUAGGGCGAGGAAAAGUAAUCAACCGAGAUUCCGAAAGUAGUGGCGAGCGAAAUCGGAAGAGGCCAAACCGUACGUAGCAAUAUGUGCGGGGUUGUGGACGGCAAUGUCGGUAAGCUUCGUUAGACGAAUGGUCUGGGAAGGCCAGUCAAAGAGUGUGAGAGCCACGUAGUCGAAAAUGAAGUGAACGUAGCCGGAUCCAGAGUACCGCGGGGCACGAGGAAUCCCGUGGGAAGCCGGGGGGACCACCCUCCAAGCCAAAAUACUACCUGAUGACCGAUAGAGGAGCAGUACCGUGAGGGAAAGGUGAAAAGCACCCCGGGAGGGGAGUGAAAUAGUACCUGAAACCUUGUGCUUACAAGCAGACAUAGCCCGUUAAAGGGUGGUGUCGUACUUUUUGUAGAACGGUCCGGCGAGUUAUAGUAACUGGCGAGCUUAAGGUAUUCAGUACCGGAGGCGAAGGGAAACCGAGUGUGAAUAGCGCGUGAAGUCAGUUGCCAUAGACCCGAAACCAGGUGACCUAGCCAUGUCCAGGAUGAAGUGGAGGUAAAGCUCCAUGGAGGUCCGAACCCACGUACGUUGCAAUGUCCGGGGAUGAGGUGUGGCUAGCGGUGAAAUUCCAAACGAACUUGGAGAUAGCUGGUUCUCCCCGAAAUAGCUUUAGGGCUAGCGUAGGUAAUGAGUUUCACGGAGGUAAAGCACUGUCUGAGCUAGGGGGCGAUAAGCUUACUGAACUCUAACAAACUAAGAAUGCCGUAGAAAUGCUUACCUGCAGUCAGACUGCGAGUAAUAAAAUCCGUGGUCAAAAGGGAAACAGCCCAGACCCACAGCUAAGGUCCCAAAUAUACGCUAAGUGGAAAACGAUGUGAGAUUGCAUAAACAACCAGGAUGUUGGCUUAGAGGCAGCCACUCGUUCAAAGAGUGCGUAAUAGCUCACUGGUCGAGUGAUCUUGCGCGGAAAAUUUAACGGGGCUAAGCGUAUAACCGAAGCUUGGGAAUGUCGAAAGACAUUGGUAGGGGAGCGUCGUGUAUGGGGUGAAGUCGCAUCGGAAGGAGCGGUGGACUGUACACGAGUGAGAAUGCCGGAAUGAGUAGCGAGAAUUAUGUGGGAAUCAUAAUGGCCGAAAAUCUAAGGUUUCUUGGGGAAGGUUCGUCCGCCCAAGGUAAGUCGGGAGCUAAGCUCAGGCCGAGAGGCGUAGGCGAUGCACAUACGGUAGAAAUUCCGUAACCACCGAAACUUAAACAGAGGGACACUUCGAAAUAGCGGAACCCGGGCGUUGGUUGACCCGGGCGUAAGGGAGCGAAAUAAGAGUAGCGAAGUCCGCGAUGUUCGGAGGCGAGAAAAGCUCUGAGGUAUGCUAAGGUGCCCGUACCGCAAACCGACACAGGUAGAUGAGGAGAGAAUCCUAAGGCCAACGGGAGAAGGGUUGUUAAGGAACUCGGCAAAUUGACCCCGUAACUUCGGAAGAAGGGGAGCCCCCUACGGGGGGUCGCAGAGAAAUGGCCCAAGCAACUGUUUACCAAAAACACAGGUCUAUGCUAAAUCGAAAGAUGACGUAUAUGGGCUGACGCCUGCCCGGUGCCGGAAGGUUAAGAGGAGAUGUCAGGCAACGAAGCAUUGAAUUUAAGCCCCGGUAAACGGCGGCCGUAACUAUAACGGUCCUAAGGUAGCGAAAUUCCUUGUCAGGUAAGUUCUGACCCGCACGAAUGGCGUAAUGAUUUGGGCACUGUCUCAACAGCCCGCCCGGCGAAAUUGUAGUACCGGUGAAGAUGCCGGUUACCCGCAACUAGACGGAAAGACCCCAUGGAGCUUUACUGCAGCUUAAUACUGAAAUUCGGUAGUACAUGUACAGGAUAGGUGGGAGACUGAGAAAUACAGGCGUCAGCUUGUAUGGAGUCGCUGUUGGGAUACCACUCUUGUACUGCUGGGUUUCUAACCUGCGGCCGUGAAUCCGGUCGGGGGACACUGUUAGGCGGGCAGUUUGACUGGGGCGGUCGCCUCCUAAAGAGUAGCGGAGGCGCUCAAAGGUUGGCUCAGCAUGGAUGGAAACCAUGCAAUGAGUGUAAACGUAUAAGCCAGCCUAACUGCGAGACCGACGGGUCGAGCAGUAACGAAAGUUGGAGUUAGUGAUCCGGUGGUAUGUGAGUGG
rnacentral:rRNA from 1 species